GUGGAUUUCAUCUUUUAAUAUUGUCAAGGUGGAACCCUGUUUGUCGUAAUAACUGCAAUCACUGCCCAAAGAAUGAUUAGUUCUAGAAUGUUUCACUGAAUCACAACAAGUAAGGCCAAAGGAACUUUAGUUAAACUACUCUUGGCUCCUACUAUCUUUUUCCAAAGAUCUGUUUAUAAGACUUCCUAGAAAUGGAAGAGCAGCACACACACCAUUUCACACACACACCCCUCCAACUAGGAAGGGAGGGCUUUUGGUCCAGAGCAGCGCCUGUACACAGUAAGAUAUCAUGUUCCCAUUUACGUCAUACUGUAUCCCUAUAAAGGCUGAAAGUUACCCCAUAUUGUUGGGAUUGUUGGGACUUCUGUGAAAUGAAGAUGAUUGUAAGUCCAGAAUAAACGAAUCCCCCUGCUGGUCACUGAAGAGAAGCUGUGGUGUCUGGUCUCGUCUGUCUGUUUUUUAAGGUUAAAUCCUCUCCCACAUAAUUGGCGUUGUCGGCAGGAUAGAACAAGGGAGAGGAAAAAAGGCUUUCCACAGCAUCUACCUCCAGUGGCAAAACGGGGCCCAUUGAGAAACAGAAAAGAGGAGGUAAGUUAAGCAUACCUCUCUCUCUCUUUAUUUUUCCUUUUUUUUAACAUAAGAUUUGCCACACAGAGGUUCUGCUUUGGAAAAAGUGUAUUGAUUUUAAAGGCGAGACAAGUGAGGCAUUGCUGCUUCUUUUUGUGACCACCAGUUGUAAUUUUCCGCGGAAAAUGGAUUGUCAUAAAAUACAAAAGAUGAGGAAGCGUAGAGUCCAACACAAUUGAUUAACCGACAAUCUUAAAGAAGUGAUUGGUUACUCCCAGCCGCUUUUAUCGGAUGUCCCGUCAAAUAUGACGUUAGAAGCGACGGCGUAUAAGAAAUGAAUCGGACCAGUACGGGUCUUUGCUGAAGUUUUUCUAAUAUACAUAACUUUUUAGAAUCAAAAAAUCAUCGUGAGAGGGUGAUUUUAGAAACAUGGGCUGGUCGGAGUCUUUAGAGGUGAAGCCUCUGAGUAAGCGUGGCCGUUCUCUCUAGCUCGUACCCGUUUGUACGUGCGAGUAUUGGAAAGAUCGGGCCAUUAGUGAACUGCAGUUGUUUUGUGAAGCUGAGAUCUCCGGUUUAGGCUUUGAGGUGAGAAAAACCUCCUAUCAAAUUUGACGUAGAAAUGCAUGCAGAUUUUGUUGGGCGAGUAGUUGUAAGCGCUUGGAGAAAGAGAAAUGAGGUUUCUCUUGGAUCAUCUGUGUGGCCUUAACUGCAGUCUGGUUUUGAGUACUCUGGUUUAGGUAACGAGGUGAAAACCUCCUAUUAAAUUUGACAUAGAAGGCCUGUUCUGAAGCACGUGCAGUAUGAACUUUUUUUUACUCUUGUUUUUAUCCUUGUAUUAUGGGUCCAUUCAAAUUACAAGCCAAAAUUCACUGUGCGCACACAUAUAAAAUAAGAGAAUUGGACAUCUGGACCAUCAGGAAAGUCACUAGUUUCCCAAGGAAGUGAGGCCAAAGAAAAAAAAAGGAAAACUCUACAGGGCAGAGUUUGAAAUUCCUGUUUUUCAGAAAUUGAGAUUCUGUCCGGUUCUGGCCACCCUUUUUCUGAUGGAAGACACAUCAAAAACACGAGAAGAACAGCUGUAAGUAGAGCAUGGAGGGACGGUAUGAUAAACUAUAAAGUGAAAAUCAGACUGAUGUGAACCUCUGAUUUAAGCAAUCAAAUUUUCAAGUGACUUAAAUGGAUCUCUCUGGCAAAACAUUGUCAAAAGGUUAGUGUAAUAGUUGCUUGCGUAAACAUAUUAUUUAAUGUCACAUGGAUGCUUGUGAUCAUACCGGGAGGAUAUAGAAAGCUAAUAUUAAAACUUAAAUCUAGGUAUUACCUUUGAGGAAAGCAGGUUUCCAGGCAAUAACUUAGGAAAAAGGGAACUUAACUUUUAUUAAAAGAAAUGGGAAUAACUACUGUUAUACGAACAAGAUGUGGAAGAUUAUUUAGCUAUUUCUGGGAACAGUUCCACAAACGUUGAUCAACAGAUAACUUUAUCUUAACAGUUGACCUCUGUUGGCAAACACAGGGUGUCAUGUUCUGGAUUUUUGCUCCCUUUGCCCCACUGCCGAGGACACACAGACCUAAGAUGUUUUCCCAACUUCUGCACAGAUAUUUCCUAAUCUCUGCAAAGAAAACUGAAAAUAAACAAUGUUAAACUAGUUAUUGAUUAGCAAAUUGGGUUACAUGGCUGAAACAAAAUUUCAAGUAUUUUAAAUAAGGUUACUUUUUUCUUGAAACUGAAAUAUUAUCAUUAUUAAAAGAGAAGCAAACAUUAGCCUGAAUUAUCUUAAACUUGGAAGAGACCUGAAGUUUCAAUGUGACGUUUCUAUUAACUCUGCCAUAAUUCUACUUAAAAAGAGGAUAAAACCUAGGUACUUCUCUAUAAAAAGGAUGAGAAAGGAAAGGUGAGUUAUCCGCUAUUUCAUAAAGAAUGUGUAAACAGGAAACAACAAGAGAAGGUAGAACAUAGCCCGAGUCCCGUCCGUCUCUGAGGAAUUUUCCUUUCUAAUUAUCUUAUAGCAGCCGACAGUUAGAGAAAACAGAGGCAGUUUAUCCUAUUAUAUGGGAAACGUUGCGUAAAACUAGUCAUUAGGUGACUAUUUGAUUAACAUUUAUUUCUUGUUUGUUCACUUUUGAGCUUUCAUCGACAAGUAGUCGUUACAAAUACCUUAAGAUGGACAUGAAGUGUUGUUCAUGCACAAGUUUGGAAAGAAGUUUGGUACCCAUUAGUGAGGUCGGACUGACCUCGGAGUAAAAAACAGGAAGCAUCUGGAUAGAAGGCGAUAACAUUGUUUAACUGUAGUGUUCCAAAGAUAAGUCAAGUAGCGAAAUUAAUCGGUCUGUUUUUCUGCUUUUGAGCCAAAACGUUUACUAGAAGUCAGGGCGAUGCGGCCAAGGGUUGGAAACAUCUGGAAGCUAUUAGGCUGCUUAGUUACUGUUACAUAAGGACACAUAAGAAGACCACUUAGGAAUAAAGUGACAAAACAUGAGAUAAGCAUUCAGUAAAGCGGCAUAAUGGAGAUUAGUGUUUAAUUUGGAAUGGAGAAAAGACGCUGAAGAGCAGCACGGACGUGACCAAUACAGACCAUAAAACUCAGACCUAUGUAAAAUCAUGAUAACUAAAACAGAUUAGAAUGUGAGGGUUUUUGAGAAAGCUGGAGUAAAUGUACUAAUUCUUGAAUAUUCUUGUCAACCACUCGCACAUUAAUGAGUCACUGGCUGAGAAGGACGGACUCACCAAGGAAUGAAGGAGUUGAGGUUUAUAAUCAAGCUUAUCGCUCUGUUUAUAUCAAGAGAAUCGUUCUGUUCAGAAUGUUCCAGGCUUUAAAGAGCCAUUACGUGUUCACAAUAUCUGAAGUCCUACAUCUGGAAACACUUUCAAGUUACAAAUCCAGGAAUGGUAAUUUCUAUGAGGGUUGUACCCACAUCAAAUCUAGUGUGAAUGAUUAGCACAAAAUCAGGUUCAAAGUAAAUUAUUGUAUUAAAGUCAAAGCAGGUUGAGAAGCUGAUGAUGCAGGAUCAGUAUAACAAACUAUAAAAGGGAAAACCUUUUGUAAAGUGCAGGUAAGAGUAGAGAGAAGACAGGGUCUUCUGGUUCUAAAUCAAUGAUAGCGUUUAGACAGAAAACAUUAAAUUUUUAGAUGUUUGGAGCACCGACAAUAACUUACUACAUACGGCAUUUAAAGGGUAAAUAGGCAACAUGUAUAUUUUAUUAAAGGAAAGUAAUAAUCAAGCGGUUAUAGUUACUCUGAUGAACACUCUGAUCAUAAUAUUGUGUUUAAGGACAUAAGGGGGGUGUUUAGAAUUUAUUGGCAUACUUGGUUAAGAAUAGAAGGAGUACAUUAACACUAAAUAAGAAGUUAAACUCAACGUGGUAAGGGCGACUCACGUGGAAGUAAAUACUAUUUAGUGGUUUAAA